rnacentral:rRNA from 1 species
UUGAUCAGGUGCAAGGGAGUAGUGGGUGCAGCGUGCGAUGGUAAGGGCGAAAGGUGGCGGAGGGGUGAGAGUGCCUUUGGCGGCAAGGAGAGAGGGGCAAGAGUUAUAGACCGCUGCUUAGGUCGCUAAGGCGUGAUAAGCAAGACGCAAAAGAGAGAAGGUGGGCAGCUAAGGUGAACAACCCCUCGUAAAGGCGCGCUCCCCGCCUCGUCAACAACGCCGCCGCUGCAGGUUCCAACGCCGCCGCAGUCGCCAGCCCUAGAGGUCCGCUCGCCAACACUUCGUCCUCCCGCAUCCGUCCUCUCCCCUACGACACUAAACACCUCCUUCUCGUUUAGCUGACGUUUUGCGGCGCUUUUUACCGACCCUCGUCAUUCCCGUAGGUCGUUCUGGGGGGAUGUUGGUUAGAACUACUACUAAAAAAAAUUGAACGGAUUGGUAACGGAAGAUCAACGGAGUUUUACUACGUUUGAACGGCUGAGAAAAGUAAUAUAUGAAUCUACUUACUGACAAAGAUAUAGUCUAUGCGCAAUGUCUGCGAAAAGUAGUAUAUGAGACUACUAUCUGAACGGAUUCUAGACUACUAUCUGAACGGGUUCUAUACCCUUCGUGAGGGAGGCAGGCGCUUAUUCACAUGAAGAUGGUAAAUAAGAUUUCAAUUUCAAAAUAUUAAAACUGGUUGAAAAAUCUUUUCUCAUCAUCAUAUAAUACUAUAGUUUAACCAUAUAAUACUUUUAUGUAAAGUUUUACUAAGAUCACUAUGAUUAUACCACAGUAUUUACGAUGAUGAAAAAGGAUAUUUUAAUCAGUUUCAAAAUUUUGAAACUGAAUCCUGUUUUCGAUCUACAUGUGAAUAAGCGCCUGCGUCCUUCAUAUAUGUACGGAUUUUUGGAGUCAUGAACGGAUAUCAGAAAAAGUCACUACUGUCAUUUUAAUCGCGCGUGAUUUUGUGUAUGAGGGAGGCAGGGUAUCAUAUUCUGCAAAAACGUUCGAUAUAAUCGAAAUCUUUUGGAGAAUAUAAUACCCUACCCUACUCACCAUUCCUCUUGUCAUUACAUGUUUGUAUAUCUAUAUUAUUAAGUCUCCAUAACUUGUUCGUAAUUACAACGAUCUACACUCUCCCAGAUCAAGGACAAGACACUUUGCUUUGUCAUCGGUCUAAAGACAAGAUAGUACCUCAUACCGGAAAAGACACACAAACAGGUAAAAAGUUGAGCGGGUUAGUAACGAAGAAUCAACGGAAUUUUACUAUGUUUUGAACGGUAAAAAAGUAAAUAUAUUAGUUACUAUAUCACAAAUGAUGUUCCCCCGAGGUAGAAAUAACUUGUACUAUAGUUCCCAAUCCGUUGAGGUGUGAAGAUCUGGUCCGUUAACUAUGUGUGUCUAGUUCGUUGAAUUAAGUUUAUGAUCAAGAAAGUGUGAUAAGACUAUCAAGUCUUUUGUAUGUGUGUCGUUCCAAUCCGUUGAGGUGUGUCGAUCUGAUCCGUUAAACAUAAGUGUUUAGUUCGUUGAAUUUCUUUGACUUCAGUUAGUUUAUAUCUUUUUUCAUCUCUUUUCGAGUGUUAAAAUUAACUGUAGAAUCCGUGUGUAAAAUCCCCCUACCCUUCGCCCUAACCCGCCGUCUUAUAAACACGUACACCUUUGUCUUUCGAGUGUGAAAAACCAGAUUUGUUGUCCGUUCAGUGUGUAUUUUGAGAUCGUUCGGAGGGUGUCAAAAGAUCGUUCUGUGUAUGUCCUGGUACCAUCGAAAGAAACACUGCCUUUGGUACCGCUUGGGGAAACACAAAAAGAAAAAAACAUCCUGGGUGUAUCUUUUAGAGUUUCGAUAGGUUCAUCACGGGUUCAUUCCUUGGGGGUGGUCGAUGAGAGGUCAAUUAGAAGUAUGGGAAGUGGACCUUAAUCAAGAAUGAUGGAUCUCUCUUUAGUUAACACACACUAAUGAAUAACGUGAUCUGAACGAAUUCUUUUGGAGCCAUCAACGGAUGUAAAGAAAAGUCACUACCGGCAUUUUGACCUAUUCUCGGAUCAUAUAGUCACUAUCCUUUAGUCAACAAGUGAUGGUCGCACGUGCCCGUGCUUCAACGAAUUACCGUCUUGACCUCAACGAAUUUUGUUGGGUGGAUCCACAAACGACGAAAAGAAAAUUUUAAAAUGGUGUAUGUAACAUGUUUCGUUUGAUUUAAGUCUUCUUCUCUAUGUACUCAACGAAUGGGAAAAAAUGGGAAAAAAUAAACGAAUUUUCACGGUAUCAUCAACGGGUGUGAAAAAGGUGUAGAAAAAUCAAUAUCGUACGUACUCGUGUGUACUCAACGAACGAGAAUCGAGAUAAAAACGAAUUUUGUUUCGGAUCUUCAACGACGAGAAAAAAAAAAGUUAUGUGAAAAAAGAUCAGGUUAUCGUUGGAUUUUUGUGUUGUCGAUCAUGAACGAAAUUUUUUUUACUUUUUGUCUGCAAAGACCAAGUACAGGACGGUUCUCAACGAACGACAGUUCACAGUUAUAGACUAAACGAACGUUUUAGGUGAUAUCAACAAGUGAAAGACAAAAGAAAAAGAAAAAACGUUAUCCACGUCGUGUUGUUGGUAUGAUCAACGAGUACCUAGACCCUUUUUGCUCCCUCUUGUGACCCUCCAUCUUCCACGUUAAUCUAAACCUGUUUGUUCGGUAACGUCCCAGGAAAGCUAAAACCUCCUCCUCCUCCUCUUCUUCUUCUUCUUCUUCUUCUUCUUCCCGCACCUCCACCCCAUCCACUCCUCUCCCUUUCCAACCCAGAUCCCCAUGCAGUCCCCUCGGUGUGGAGGGUAAACUCCUGCCCGCAACUAGUUCACACACUACCCCCUCGACUUCCUUUCGCACCCGCGCCCUCCUUUCGCACCCGGAAGGAUGAAAGGUUUAGACCUAGUCCCCCUGUUUUCGGAUGGAUUUAUUCCCUCCGACGGUCCCCCGCGGGCCGCGUCUAAGAGAUUGAACGAAUAUCGUUCAGUCUCCGUCGGAACUCCGUCGACCUACGGCAAAGAAAAGGUAGCACACAGGGGACGAGACAAAGUACAAAGGAAGGGAGUGUGUUGUGUCAAGUCGGUCCGGUCGGGUGUAUUCGCUGUUCCUUCCGGGUAAGCCCUCGUUUGUCGGAUCGACGUCGCUGUUCACGUAGAUACCUGUCAAUUAACUUACAUUUGUCGUCUUAUCUUGUCUUGUAUAAGUCUGACCUAUCUUUGGACAUUUUUAUGAGGCAAAAGUUGGUCUUAAGUUGGUUUUAGUUGGUCUUAUGUUUGUCAUCAAUACUAUGUUUAUUGGUAUUAUUGGAGGUUGUUUUAUAUCAUGAUCUCGACGUCCAAGAUGUGUUUUCUUGUGGUAAAACGUCACAAAAAGUGUUUAAAGAAGUUCGACUUGUAUAAGUCCGGUUUUCUUCUACCUGGUAGAAGAAGAACAGUACUUUAUCCUUGGAUUUCUUCUAGAGGUUUUAGGUAUAGUAGUUAAGGUAAUCUUGGAACGUUUCUUUCUCCUAGUUUUACUUUACCAGCUUAUCUUAUCAUCAAACCUCUUCUAUGUUGUUGUAAAUUUCAUGGUAAUCGUUCAGACGCAUCGAGGACUUACGUAACAAUCGUAAAAGUCAACAACGAACUCAAAAAGGUGGUUGAACUAAGAGAAAGAGAACGACGACGUGUUUCUUUGGGUUG